rnacentral:rRNA from 1 species
UGGGGAAUCUUGCACAAUGGGCGAAAGCCUGAUGCAGCGACGCCGCGUGCGGGAUGAAGGCCUUCGGGUUGUAAACCGCUUUCAGCAGGGACGAGGCCGCAAGGUGACGGUACCUGAAAAACAAGCCACGGCUAACUACGUGCCAGCAGCCGCGGUAAUACGUAGGUGGCGAGCGUUAUCCGGAUUUACUGGGUGUAAAGGGCGUGCAGGCGGGCUGAUAAGUCAGAUGUGAAAUCCCCGAGCUUAACUCGGGAACUGCAUCUGAUACUGUUGGUCUUGAGUGCUGGAGAGGAUAGUGGAAUUCCUAGUGUAGCGGUAAAAUGCGCAGAUAUUAGGAGGAACACCAGUGGCGAAGGCGGCUAUCUGGACAGUAACUGACGCUGAGGCGCGAAAGCGUGGGUAGCAAACAGG